GACGAACCGUGCGAACGUUGUUCGGAAUCACUGGCUUAAAGGGCGCGUAGGCGGACUGCCAAGUCCGGGGUGAAAUCCUCCGGCUUAACCGGAGAAUUGCCUGGGAUACUGGCGGUCUUGAGGGAGGUAGGGGCACGCGGAACUUCCGGUGGAGCGGUGAAAUGCGUUGAUAUCGGAAGGAACGCCGGUGGCGAAGCGGCGUGCUGGCCCUCUUCUGACGCUGAGGCGCGAAAGCCAGGGGAGCGAACGGG
rnacentral:rRNA from 1 species